AUGAAUAUUGCUCGCCUAUCCCGCUGGCUUUGGCGCAUCUCGCAAGGGCACGGUAGCCUCUGGUUAGACAUCAUCCGGAAUAAGUACCUGCGUGGUCAACCCCUUGCCUUCUGCCAGCGCUCUGGCGACUCCCAAUUCUUGCAGUCGGUUGUCCAACUUCUCCCAGUCCUCCGCAUCAGGACCUCCAUCUCGGUUGGAUCUGGGGCUGCUACGAUGUUCUGGUUUGACCGGUGGGCCGGCGACUCCCCCUUCGCGGCUCGCUUCCCCGACCUUUUCUCCAUCGCUGUUGAACCCACGAUCUCAGUUGAGAGGGCCCUUAUUGACUUAGGGCGCCUCGUGUUCCGUAGGCCAUUUGGGCCUCCGGAUCCCGCCGCCUGGCAGGAUUUGCUUGAUUGUGUGGCUCUCCAUGAGCCGAGGGUGGACGUUGGCCCGGAUCAAGUAAGAUGGCGCCUUGAGCCUUCGCGCCAAUUCUCCACCAAGUCCUUAUACCAGGCCAUCGCCCCCUCCCCGCUCCCCCCCCCACUUAUGGUGGUGUGGUCCAUUCGCCUUUCACUGAAGAUUCAGAUCUUCAUGUUGCAAUGGAUUCACGGUCGGACCCCGUCUGGGGUCGAGGUCCUCAAACGCAAUGGCCCGGGCUCUAGCUUAUGCCUCCUGUGUGGUGUCCUCGAAGACUCGAAUCACAUCUACUUCUCCUGUGUGUCAGCUCAAUUUGUCUGGAGCUGCUUUAGGGAGGUGGUGCGUGGGAAUUGGUGCCAUACCAACUUCUCCCACCUAUUCACCGAACUCCAUAACUCCCCCUUGUCCUCGCGCCACAUUAGGUGGCUUGAGAUUGGGGCGAUCGCUUGGACCUUCUGGACGAUUCGCAACAAGCUUGUGAUUCAGCGUACUCCUCUUCGGCGGGCUACUGACGCUCUUUUCAAACUGUCUGGUUACUUGCAGCUUUGGCGGCCGCUUAGCCGCCCUCACGAUCGGGACGCCAUCUCCGCCUUCAUCGCCGACCUUCGCUCUAUGGCCGUCCGUCUGUCGCCGCCGCCACCGCCACCACCCCCAGAGCCUGACUAG
rnacentral:rRNA from 1 species